UGCUGUCGCUCGCUCUAAGCCCCGCCCCGCACUUCCGCACGCACGCUCGCUGCCCGGCCCGCCCAGCAUCGCACACUCGCUCGCUCGCCUCUCCUCCCAAUCCUGUCUCCCCCUCCCGGUGAAAGAAAGGCAACAAAAAUCUCUCGCCCGCUCGGCGUCUCUCGCAGACACCCAUAGGCCAUAGUGCUCCCUCCCUCCUCGCCCUCAGCAAUCGCACCGCCCUGAGCCACAAACCCGCGAUCCGGCGCUGCCUCGUCCUCGAGCCAGCUUCCACGGCCACGACCACCAUGUGGAAUCAGAUGCCGCUCCGACGUCCAUGCUCUGUGCCGCCAACCAUCCGCGGCCACCACACUCUGCUGCUCCAUUUAUGUCGUCAUCGAGCCGCCCUCCACGGCCACGACCACCACGCCGAAGCGAGAACGCCGCUCCAACGUCUCUAUCCUUCACGGCACCGGAAUCUAAUGACUGCAACUUCCAUGUACCAUGAAACAAUUCUGCUGCUGCCUGUACACCGCCUCCAAUUAAAUCUGUUGUGAAUUGUUUGCAAAAGAUACUGUCUCAUACUUGUUCUUUACUGCACUACAAAGAACUAAAGAAUGGAAUCCAGAGGUGAAGGAUAUGGAUUUCGCUUUUAUAUUAUGCAGUACCUCUUUGUAUGAUAAAACUGUAGCAGUCCGACAAUUGCAAAAACUAAAUACAGAUGUUACUUGUUGUCAAGCAUAACUGAAAACAUAUGCUAUUUCUGUCUCUAUUUUUUCUAGAGUAAGAAUUGAAAAUAGAUGCUAAUGCUCCACUUAAUCUGAGUUAUGUAGAAAGAGAGUGUCAGAGGAGGAGGUUACCAUGUGCCUUAGUGCCAUGAGAGUUAGUUGCUUGUUUUCUUGCCAAUCUAGAUCAUUUCUGACAAAAAUACUGCUUAGGAGACUAAUAUUAACAUGCUAGAGUCCUCCUUGUUUGCCUUUCCUCUGUGUUGGGCUCAUAAUAUGAUGCUUAGUUCUGAUUCCUUUUGUUCCCUUACAUUGUGCCUUACAGAUCAUACACAGAGUGAAGUUCAGUAACUUCUGGGUUUUUUAUGCAGAAAGUUGUAAAGAUUUUGGUAAGGGGAAGAAGAAAGAACUAGCCACAAAAGAUAGUUUCGCCUGUGAGCAUUGAACCUUAACUCUGACACAGUUGGUCGUCCAUUAAGCACAGAUCUCUAUUCUCCAUCUCCACAGAUAACUUUCAGGUUACCCAGUCCAAUUUUCAAAUUGUUCUGCUUGAAUAUGAACUCUCAGUUUGGGAUGAAAAGCUAAGGCCACUUAUCUUGCCUAUCCGUAUUCCGUACCCCGUAGGAACAGAGAUUGAAUAUUUUGUUUUGAACUGAUUUCAGAGGAAGCACGCUUCCAAAUUCAUUCUUAAUUAACAGCAUCAAGAGCUGCUGAACUGUUCCAUGUUUAGAUGAAUUAUUCUGAUUUUCAAAGGAAGUAUGCUCUCACACGUUGCUAGCUAAAGUUUCAAUCCAUGAACAACAAUUCCAAUUGUAAAUUGGCGUCCUACAACCCCCAUAGGAGUCUAAUAUUGACAUGCUAAGACCCUCUGGUUUUAGCAGUAGUAGAGAUUUUUAGAAUACCCAAUCACUUUGAGUUUCAUAUUGCAUUGGCGAUUAAUUCAGCUCAUUUCUUCUUUUUUCUCUGCAUUUCUUGUAGAUUACUUAUUCUUUUUUCCUGCAUUUCUUGUAGAUUUACUUAUUUUUGACUGCCACCGGGAAGUGUCGCGUAGGUUUUCCACAGGAGUGCGAGGACUCCCCACACCCCCCACCCCACCCCACCCACCCC